rnacentral:rRNA from 1 species
GGAUGCGAUCAUACCAGCACUAAAGCACCGGAUCCCAUCAGAACUCUGAAGUUAAGCGUGCUUGGGCGAGAGUAGUACUAGGAUGGGUG